rnacentral:rRNA from 1 species
UACGUAGGGUGCAAGCGUUGUCCGGAAUUAUUGGGCGUAAAGAGCUCGUAGGCGGUCUGUCGCGUCGGCUGUGAAAACCCGCGGCUCAACCUCGGGCCUGCAGUCGAUACGGGCAGACUAGAGUGCGGUAGGGGAGACUGGAAUUCCUGGUGUAGCGGUGAAAUGCGCAGAUAUCAGGAGGGAACACCGGUGGGCGAAAGGCGGGUCUCUGGGCCGUAACUGACGCUGGAGGAGCG